CGCGGGGUAGAGCAGUCUGGUAGCUCGUCGGGCUCAUAACCCGAAGGUCGCAGGUUCAAAUCCUUCCCCCGCCACCA
rnacentral:tRNA from 5 species